GAUUCCCUCAGUAACGGCGAGUGAAGCGGGAAAAGCUCAAAUUUGAAAUCUGUCAACAUUUCUUUUGUUGUCCGAGUUGUAAUUUCAAGAAGCUGCUUUGAGUGUAGACGAUCGGUCUAAGUUCCUUGGAACAGGACGUCAGAGAGGGUGAGAACCCCGUCUUUGGUCGAUUGGAUAUGCCAUAUAAAGCGCUUUCGAAGAGUCGAGUUGUUUGGGAAUGCAGCUCUAAAUGGGUGGUAAAUUUCAUCUAAAGCUAAAUAUUGGCGAGAGACCGAUAGCGAACAAGUAGAGUGAUCGAAAGAUGAAAAGAACUUUGAAAAGAGAGUUAAAUAGUACGUGAAAUUGCUGAAAGGGAAGCAUUGGAAAUCAGUCUUACCUGGGUGAGAUCAGUAGUCUCUUCGCGAGACUAUGCACUCUGAACCUGUGGUAGGUCAGCAUCAGUUUUCGGGGGCGGAAAAAGAAUAAGGGAAGGUGGCUUUCCGGGUUCUGCCUGGGGAGUGUUUAUAGCCCUUGUUGUAAUACGUCCACUGGGGACUGAGGACUGCGGCUUCGUGCCAAGGAUGCUGACAUAAUGGUUUUCAAUGGCCCGUCUUGAAACACGGACCAAGGAGUCUAGCAUCUAUGCGAGUGUUUGGGUGAUGAAAACCCAUCCGCGAAAUGAAAGUGAAUGCAGGUGGGAACGCCCUUGUGGCGUGCACCAUCGACCGACCCGGAAGUUUGUCAAUGGAAGGGUUUGAGUAAGAGCAUAGCUGUUGGGACCCGAAAGAUGGUGAACUAUGCCUGAAUAGGGUGAAGCCAGAGGAAACUCUGGUGGAGGCUCGUAGAGAUUCUGACGUGCNNNNCGAUCUUCAAAUUUGGGUAUAGGGGCGAAAGACUAAUCGAACCAUCUAGU
rnacentral:rRNA from 1 species